CCUUAGAUCGUACCCACAUUUACUUGGAUAACUGUGGUAAUUCUAGAGCUAAUACAUGCAAACCAGAGUUCCGACCAGAGAUGGAAGGAACGCUUUUAUUAGAUCAAAACCAAUCGGUGGCUGGCUCGCCAGUCCAUCGUUUACUUUGGUGACUCUGAAUAACUUUGUGCUGAUCGCAUGGUCUCGCACCGGCGACGCAUCUUUCAAAUGUCUGCCUUAUCAACUGUCGAUGGUAGGUUCUGCGCCUACCAUGGUUGUAACGGGUAACGGGGAAUCAGGGUUCGAUUCCGGAGAGGGAGCCUGAGAAACGGCUACCACAUCCAAGGAAGGCAGCAGGCGCGCAAAUUACCCACUCCCGGCACGGGGAGGUAGUGACGAAAAA
rnacentral:rRNA from 1 species